rnacentral:rRNA from 1 species
UACGGAGGGUGCGAGCGUUGUCCGGAAUCACUGGGCGUAAAGGGUCCGUAGGCGGUUUUGUAAGUCAGUGGUGAAAGCCCAUCGCUCAACGGUGGAACGGCCAUUGAUACUGCAAGACUUGAAUUAUUAGGAAGUAACUAGAAUAUGUAGUGUAGCGGUGAAAUGCUUAGAGAUUACAUGGAAUACCAAUUGCGAAGGCAGGUUACUACUAAUGGAUUGACGCUGAUGGACGAAAGCGUGGGGAGCGAACAGG